UUGUUUUUUUUAAUUUUUUUAAAAAAAAUUUUGUAUGCUAAAGAGAAUGAGUCCUUAAUUUCAACAUUUUGUUGUGUUUAAAUAAUGAUAAGCAUUGUUAAUUUUUGUAACCAGCUCACAGCUUUGCAAACUCAAUAGGUAGAGCAUGAAGCUGUGUCUUGGCCUUAUUAGGAAGACAAAAGGCUUCCUGUGUUUUGAGUAUUUGGGCUGUUUCAGCAAUGUUAAGGUGGCAUUGGGGACUCUGAGGCAUUUCAGCACUGUCAAGGUGGCACUGGGGACUCUGAGUUUCCCAUACUGUAUCCAAAGAUUUUGGCACUAGCCUUUGCCAUAGUAGGCACAGUUCCUCUCCUCACACUGGUGUUGGGUGUGUGAGCAGCCAGAGCUGCUGUGAGAAAGCAUGGAGAGCAAACAUCUGUUCUGUGCCUCUUACUGGAGAAUGAGAUUCCUUUGCUUGGGGAUGAAGCAACCAGGGUAGAAAGCAGAAUUCUCUCCAGUAAUCCAGUUAGCUUUGGCUUUCUUGAUAUUCGCCCCCAAAUACUUGUGUGGGGUGUUGACUAUAAGAGACGUGUGGGUUUUUUAUUUUUAUAAUUGUAUAAAAUUAAGCAAAUUUCAAAUGUUUUAUAUACUUUAUUAAUGGUUUUUUUUUUCAAAAGGUACUUUCUUAUAGACAUGAUACUUUUUUUUUUUUUUACAGGUUCCAUUGCUUGUCUUUUGGUAUUUUUGUGUUGUGGGCUAUGGUGAGCCAGAGGCAAAUCUAUAAGCCACUUUUGUUUGCCAGGACAUGCAAUAAAAUUUAAAAAUAAAUGAAAA